rnacentral:rRNA from 1 species
GUGGGGAAUCUUGCGCAAUGGGCGAAAGCCUGACGCAGCCAUGCCGCGUGAAUGAUGAAGGUCUUAGGAUUGUAAAAUUCUUUCACCGGGGACGAUAAUGACGGUACCCGGAGAAGAAGCUCCGGCUAACUUCGUGCCAGCAGCCGCGGUAAUACGAAGGGGGCUAGCGUUGCUCGGAAUUACUGGGCGUAAAGGGGGCGUAGGCGGACAGCUUAGUCAGAGGUGAAAGCACAGGGCUCAACCUUGGAAUUGCCUUUGAUACUGGCGUGAUUGAGUUUGGUAGAGGUGAGUGGAACUCCGAGUGUAGAGGUGAAAUUCGUAGAUAUUCGGAAGAACACCAGUGGCGAAGGCGACUCACUGGCCCAAUACUGACGCUGAGGCGCGAAAGCGUGGGGAGCAAACAGGAUUAGAUACCCGGGUAGUCC